AACGAACGCUGGCGGCGCGUCUUACACAUGCAAGUCGAACGGCAGGAAGGGGCUUGCCCCUUCUGAGAGUGGCGGACUGGUGAGUAACACGUGGGUGACAUACCUUUUAGUUGGGGAUAGCUAUUAGAAAUAGUAGGUAAUACCGAAUGUGACCGUACCUGUUAGAGGGGUACGAGGAAAGGAGCUAAGGCUUCGCUAAAAGAAUGGCUCGCGGCCCAUUAUGCUCGUUGGUGAGGUAACGGCCCACCAAGGCGAUGAUGGGUAUCCGGCCUGAGAGGGUGAACGGACACAUUGGGACUGAGAUACGGCCCAGACUUCUACGGGAGGCAGCAGUUAAGAAUAUUCCGCAAUGGACGAAAGUCUGACGGAGCGACGCCGCGUGGAUGAAGAAUGCCGAAAGGUUGUAAAAUCCUUUUAAGCCUGAUGAAUAAGCACAGUAGGGAAUGAUUGUGCGGUGACCGUAGGGCUUGAAUAAGCACCGGCUAAUUACGUG
rnacentral:rRNA from 1 species